CUUUUUCUCAGCCUGAAUGAAGAUUUUGCUUCAGAUCUACAGAAGUCAGCCAAGUUUUUUAAAUUAACACCCAAAGCAAAGCUAAGCUUCCAACAAUUCUUUACAAGGCAAAAGCAAAAGCCAACCAAGCAUGAGAAGCUACUACUGAGAGCACGUGCGCUGACAGGAGAACUGCUAGACAAUUACAGUGCCUACUAUUUAUAACCUAUCAAAGCUGGAAGUCGGUUCUUUCACCAGUAGUGGUGGAAAGAGUGAGAGAGUCUCCUCUGCCUGGCUGUGUUCUUUUCCACAUUAGAAGAGAAGAAUGAAUAUAAAAAAAGAGAGAUCAAUUAAAAAAAUAAAAAAGACACAUCUAUCUACCA
rnacentral:lncRNA from 1 species